AAUGGUGUGUCUGAUUAAAGGAUUACCUUGAUAGGGUAAAUAAAGUAAUUUUAAUUUACGUCCAUUA
rnacentral:tRNA from 1 species